rnacentral:rRNA from 1 species
GUGCCAGCCGCCGCGGUAAUACGGAGGGUGCAAGCGUUGUCCGGAUUUAUUGGGUUUAAAGGGUGCGUAGGCGGCCCGGUAAGUCAGUGGUGAAAGCCCAUAGCUCAACUAUGGAACUGCCAUUGAUACUGCCGGGCUUGAGUACAGACGAGGUAGGCGGAAUUGAAGAUGUAGCGGUGAAAUGCAUAGAUAUCUUCAAGAACACCGAUUGCGUAGGCAGCUUACUAGGCUGUAACUGACGCUGAGGCACGAAAGCGUGGGGAGCGAACAGGAUUAGAUACCCGAGUAGUCC